rnacentral:rRNA from 1 species
GACGAACGCUGGCGGCGUGCUUAACACAUGCAAGUCGAACGGAAAGGCCUUUUCGGAGGUACUCGAGUGGCGAACGGGUGCGUAACACGUGGGUGAUCUGCCCUGCACUCUGGGAUAAGCCUGGGAAACUGGGUCUAAUACCGGAUAGGACCGCACUUUAGUGUGUGUGGUGGAAAGAUUUUUCGGUGUAGGAUGAGCCCGCGGCCUAUCAGCUUGUUGGUGGGGUAAUGGCCUACCAAGGCGGCGGCGGGUAGCCGGACUGUGAGGUUGGUCGGCCACAUUGGGACUGAGAGACGGCCCAGACUCCGACGGGAGGCAGCAGGGGGGAAUAUUGCACAAUGGGCGCAAGCCUGAUGCAGCGACGCCGCGUGGGGGAUGACGGCCUUCGGGUUGUAAACUCCUUUCGCCAGGGACGAAGCGUUUUGUGACGGUACCUGGAGAAGAAGCACCGGCUAACUACGUG